rnacentral:rRNA from 1 species
GCGGAGGGAUCAUUACACAAAUAUGAAGGCGGGCUGGAACCUCUCGGGGUUACAGCCUUGCUGAAUUAUUCACCCUUGUCUUUUGCGUACUUCUUGUUUCCUUGGUGGGUUCGCCCACCACUAGGACAAACAUAAACCUUUUGUAAUUGCAAUCAGCGUCAGUAACAAAUUAAUAAUUACAACUUUCAACAACGGAUCUCUUGGUUCUGGCAUCGAUGAAGAACGCAGCGAAAUGCGAUAAGUAGUGUGAAUUGCAGAAUUCAGUGAAUCAUCGAAUCUUUGAACGCACAUUGCGCCCUUUGGUAUUCCAAAGGGCAUGCCUGUCCGAGCGUCAUUUGUACCCUCAAGCUUUGCUUGGUGUUGGGCGUCUUGUCUCUAGCUUUGCUGGAGACUCGCCUUAAAGUAAUUGGCAGCCGGCCUACUGGUUUCGGAGCGCAGCACAAGUCGCACUCUCUAUCAGCAAAGGUCUAGCAUCCAUUAAGCCUUUUUUUCAACUUUUGACCUCGGAUCAGGUAGGGAUACCCGCUGAACUUAAGCAUAUCAAUAAGCGGAGGA